rnacentral:rRNA from 1 species
AUAGCUACUUGCAUCAUUGAAAAUAUGAUGCAAGAUCGACUAUGUCGAAUAAAAUUCUAGGUAGAAUUAUGAUAAUGACAUUGUCUGCCUAUGUGUCUUGACCAAAUUACGUGCCAGCAGUCGCGGUAAUACGUAGAAGACUAGUGUUAUUCAUGUUUAAUCGGUUUAAAGGGUACCUAGACGGUAAAUCAAGCCUAAAAGGAAGGAAAUAAAGGGACUAAUUUACUAGAGUUACUUAUGAGGGGGUAUUAAAGUACUGCUGGUGUAGAGAUGAAAUUCUGUCAUACCUCUUUUCAAUAGAAAAAUAAUGGCACAGGUAUAGGCGAAAGCAUCCCCUUAUGUGAUAACUGACGUUGAGGGACGAAGGCUUUGUGUAGCGAACAGGAUUAGAUACCCCAGUAGUCAAAGCAGAAAAUGAUGAAUGUCAUAGAUUAGAUAUAUAAGUUUAUUCUAUAAAUGAAAGUGUAAGCAUUCCACCUCAAGAGUAAUUUGGCAACAUUGGAACUGAAAUCAUUAGACCGUUUCUGAAACCAGUAGUGAAGUAUGUUGUUUAAUUUGAUAAUCCGCAAAAAACCUUACCACAAUUUGAAUAUUUAUAUUUUUUUUAUUGUUUUUCUUUUUAAUUUUCUUCCGAUUUUCUAGUUAAAGGAAAAUUAGAAGAAAAAGAAAAAAGAGGCAAUAAGA